rnacentral:rRNA from 1 species
AUUGAACGCUGGCGGCAUGCCUUACACAUGCAAGUCGAACGGCAGCACGGAGCUUGCUCUGGUGGCGAGUGGCGAACGGGUGAGUAAUAUAUCGGAACGUACCCUGGAGUGGGGGAUAACGUAGCGAAAGUUACGCUAAUACCGCAUACGAUCUAAGGAUGAAAGUGGGGGACUCGCAAGAGCCUCAUGCUCGUGGAGCGGCCGAUAUCUGAUUAGCUAGUUGGUAGGGUAAAAGCCUACCAAGGCAUCGAUCAGUAGCUGGUCUGAGAGGACGACCAGCCACACUGGAACUGAGACACGGUCCAGACUCCUACGGGAGGCAGCAGUGGGGAAUUUUGGACAAUGGGCGCAAGCCUGAUCCAGCAAUGCCGCGUGAGUGAAGAAGGCCUUCGGGUUGUAAAGCUCUUUUGUCAGGGAAGAAACGGUGAGAGCUAAUAUCUUUUGCUAAUGACGGUACCUGAAGAAUAAGCACCGGCUAACUACGUGCCAGCAGCCGCGGUAAUACGUAGGGUGCAAGCGUUAAUCGGAAUUACUGGGCGUAAAGCGUGCGCAGGCGGUUUUGUAAGUCUGAUGUGAAAUCCCCGGGCUCAACCUGGGAAUUGCAUUGGAGACUGCAAGGCUAGAAUCUGGCAGAGGGGGGUAGAAUUCCACGUGUAGCAGUGAAAUGCGUAGAUAUGUGGAGGAACACCGAUGGCGAAGGCAGCCCCCUGGGUCAAGAUUGACGCUCAUGCACGAAAGCGUGGGGAGCAAACAGGAUUAGAUACCCUGGUAGUCCACGCCCUAAACGAUGUCUACUAGUUGUCGGGUCUUAAUUGACUUGGUAACGCAGCUAACGCGUGAAGUAGACCGCCUGGGGAGUACGGUCGCAAGAUUAAAACUCAAAGGAAUUGACGGGGACCCGCACAAGCGGUGGAUGAUGUGGAUUAAUUCGAUGCAACGCGAAAAACCUUACCUACCCUUGACAUGGAUGGAAUCCCGAAGAGAUUUGGGAGUGCUCGAAAGAGAACCAUUACACAGGUGCUGCAUGGCUGUCGUCAGCUCGUGUCGUGAGAUGUUGGGUUAAGUCCCGCAACGAGCGCAACCCUUGUCAUUAGUUGCUACGAAAGGGCACUCUAAUGAGACUGCCGGUGACAAACCGGAGGAAGGUGGGGAUGACGUCAAGUCCUCAUGGCCCUUAUGGGUAGGGCUUCACACGUCAUACAAUGGUACAUACAGAGCGCCGCCAACCCGCGAGGGGGAGCUAAUCGCAGAAAGUGUAUCGUAGUCCGGAUUGUAGUCUGCAACUCGACUGCAUGAAGUUGGAAUCGCUAGUAAUCGCGGAUCAGCAUGUCGCGGUGAAUAAAGUCCCGGGUCU